CACUCCUACGGGAGGCAGCAGUGAGGAAUAUUGGACAAUGGGUGGAAGCCUGAUCCAGCCAUCCCGCGUGCAGGAAGACGGCCCUAUGGGUUGUAAACUGCUUUUAUCUGGGGAUAAACCUACUUACGUGUAAGUAGCUGAAGGUACCAGAAGAAUAAGCACCGGCUAACUCCGUGCCAGCAGCCGCGGUAAUACGGAGGGUGCAAGCGUUAUCCGGAUUUAUUGGGUUUAAAGGGUCCGUAGGCGGACUGAUAAGUCAGUGGUGAAAUCCGACAGCUUAACUGUCGAACUGCCAUUGAUACUGUUAGUCUUGAGUAAGGUUGAAGUGGCUGGAAUAAGUAGUGUAGCGGUGAAAUGCAUAGAUAUUACUUAGAACACCAAUUGCGAAGGCAGGUCACUAAGUCUUAACUGACGCUGAUGGACGAAAGCGUGGGGAGCGAACAGGAUUAGAAACCCUAGUAGUCCCAUGAU
rnacentral:rRNA from 1 species